AUUAAUGCAUUUUUAUUAGAGUUAUUUAUGUGAUUUAUGUAAUUUACAUGUAUAUUUUAUUUCCUUACAUUAUUAUUCUUUUCUGAAUUUUAAGUGCGGAGAAUAACGAUUUGAUAAUUAAAAGUAUUAUUGCAAGAUCCUUGACAUACCCAUCUGCACCACUGUCAUCUGUUGGUAUUCGGGAAAUUGUGAAGAAUUGUGAUAUUGCAGAGUUGAUUAAGGGUUUACAAUCCAUGACGGUAAAUAUUAUUUUAUUAGUAAUAAAUUAAAAUAUUUACACAAACAUUCAUUCUAAAAAUUGAUUAUAAUUUAAUGUAGAAAGCAAAAUUUUAAAUAAAGGCGAAGAUAAAUGUUAUUGACUUUACCCAAGUAUUUUAUUACAUGUCAUGCAUUGACUGUAAUAAAGGAACUGGAUAUAAAUAUAAUGAAAGCUUCGUUUGUAUGUAUUGCAAAAGCCAAGGGAUCUUACAAUUUUAAUUUAAAAUUGAUAUCUGAUUUAAUUCAUCAUUUAACACUAUUCAAAUUGAAAUUAAUAUAUUCAACGCAUUUAAAGUGUUAGGGCAUAUGUUGAACUGGACGAUAAUAAUGGAAAGCUAGCUGCUACUAUGUUUGGUGAAGUAGCAGAACAAGCACUUGGUUGUUCGGCAGCUGAAUUGAUGGAACAUGCUGGAGAGGAAAAUCGACCGUAUGUUAAAUGCGUUGCGGAGAAAUUAUCAAAAAAAAUUUGGAAGAUUCAAGUCUAUGCAGAUCCAGAGAAACUGAAGGAGAAAAAAUAUAAGCAAUUUAAUGUCCUCUCUAUUGAAGCGGUGCAAGAUGAGGAAAAUAUUGGAUCGUCAUCCUAAAAUCAAAAUUAUCUUAAACAGCUUUCAUAAAACUAUGGGCGAUGUUUAUUUAUAAGACAAUGUUAUAAAUUCUAUUAAUGGUCUUAUUUUAUAAUA